GGGUGUAUAGCUCAGUUGGUAGAGCAACUGACUCUUAAUCAGUGGGUCUGGGGUUCGAAUCCCCAUGCGCCUACCA
rnacentral:tRNA from 1 species